CUGAGUUAGGGUCUUUUAGGCCCGACCUCCAACCCUUUGUUUAACAAACCCUGUUGCUUUGGUGGGCCUGCCUUCUAGGAGGCUGUCGGGGGUGUUGUCACCCUUGAUCCGUGCCCACCAGUAGCCUUCUUAAAUAUUCUUUAUAACUGUGUCGUCUGAGUAUCAAUAUUAAAUAUUUUA
rnacentral:misc_RNA from 1 species